UGAUCCUGGCUCAGAACGAACGCUGGCGGCGUGCUACACAUGCAGUCGAGCGCGAAUGGAGCAAUCCUAGUAGAGCGGCGCACGGGUGCGUAACACGUGGGUAAUCUGCCUGGGAGAUGAGGAUAACCAGUCGAAAGAUUGGCUAAUACUCGAUAAGCCCCCGGGGACUUCGGUCUCUGAGGGAAAAGGUGGCCUCUGUAAACAAGCUAUCACUUCCAGAUGAGCCCGCGGCCCAUCAGCUCGUUGGCGGGGUAAUGGCCCACCAAGGCAACGACGGGUAGCUGGUCUGAGAGGACGAUCAGCCACACUGGAACUGAGACACGGUCCAGACUCCUACGGGAGGCAGCAGUGGGGAAUUUUGCGCAAUGGGCGAAAGCCUGACGCAGCAACGCCGCGUGUGUGAUGAAGGUCUUCGGGUUGUAAAGCACUUUCGACCGGGACGAAACCCCCUUGGCUAACAUCCAGGGGCUUGACGGUACCGGGAGAAGAAGCACCGGCUAACUCUGUGCCAGCAGCCGCGGUAAUACAGAGGGUGCAAGCGUUGUUCGGAAUUAUUGGGCGUAAAGCGCGUGUAGGCGGCUUUGCAAGUCGGGUGUGAAAGCCCUCAGCUCAACUGAGGAAGUGCGCCCGAAACUGCCGAGCUUGAGUGCCGGAGAGGGUGGCGGAAUUCCCCAAGUAGAGGUGAAAUUCGUAGAUAUGGGGAGGAACACCGGUGGCGAAGGCGGCCACCUGGACGGCAACUGACGCUGAGACGCGAAAGCGUGGGGAGCAAACAGGAUUAGAUAC
rnacentral:rRNA from 1 species